GACGAACGCUGGCGGCGUGCUUAACACAUGCAAGUCGAACGAUGAAGCUGGAGCUUGCUCUGGUGGAUUAGUGGCGAACGGGUGAGUAACACGUGAGUAACCUGCCCUGGACUCUGGGAUAACCCCGAGAAAUCGGAGCUAAUACCGGAUAGGACCUCGGAUCGCAUGAUCUGGGGUGGAAAGUUUUUCGGUCUGGGAUGGACUCGCGGCCUAUCAGCUUGUUGGUGGGGUAAUGGCUCACCAAGGCGUGGACGGGUAGCCGGCCUGAGAGGGUGACCGGCCACACUGGGACUGAGACACGGCACAGACUCCUCCGGGAGGCAGCAGUGGGGAAUAUUGCACAAUGGGCGCAAGCCUGAUGCAGCAACGCCGCGUGCGGGAUGACGGCCUUCGGGUUGUAAACCGCUUUUAGUAAGGAAGAAGCCGCAAGGUGACGGUACUUGCAGAAAAAGGACCGGCUAACUACGUGCCAGCCGCCGCCGUAACAC
rnacentral:rRNA from 1 species